rnacentral:lncRNA from 1 species
AUGAGAAUCAUAGAGUUGGAAGAGACCUCAUGGGCCAUCCAGUCCAAUCCCCUGCCAAGAAGAAGGAAAUUGCAUUCAAAGCCUUCCUUAUUUCUUGUGGUGAUUUUUUUUUCCUUUUCAUAUGUGCUUUUCUCAAUAAACUGUUUUACUACUACUUUUGGAUUCCUGGUUGGUGUUGAGUGCAAGGUGGAUUCUGGCUGGGGUGCAACACAAGUCUUGAUAGAGUGGGAAUUACCCCAACUUCUUCAACGAGAAGACUUUUUAGAUUAAGGGGGAAACCAAUGCCACUACCUCAUAAUUAACCAGUCCAACAACAAUCAAAAAAUGUAUUGGUUUUUAAGCCUGUUCCUGGGUAUGAUCAUGUGUGACUCACCCAAGGUCAACCAAUGGAUUUCCAUGGCCAAAAGGGGAAAUGAAUCUUGGUCUCCACUCACUUAACCCACCACACCAUUCAGGCUCUACAAUGCAAAGGACUCUCUUGAAUUAGCUGUUACAGCAGAUUUUACUGAAGAAAUAAGAGAACUUAAGAGAACAGUGGGCCAAUCUUCUAUAGGAGACAUAUCUUGCAUCUGAAAGUAAAGGAAUUUAGUCAUAAUUGCCAAAGAAGAGAGGGGGGAAAAUGGGAACAAUUUCAUGAGACAUCUGAGCCUGAGCUAUCAUGUCAUACCCUCUCUAAUGGACCUGUUUCUUUAUUCUGAAGGAAUGUUCUCAACAACAUCUGUUCACUAGAGCACAGAUUCAAAGCAACAUCAAUGUUUAACAUUCUGUUCAGUCAUAAAAAUAUGUGACACUUUGUCCUAGAGAAUGAAUGUCUAUUUCACAAGUAUUUCAAAGAUCUUUCUGAGAAUUUUCCUUGAGAAAUAUAACAACUGAAAAAAUAUCUUCUAGAAAAAGACUAUGAGUAACCUUGGCUUUUUGUACUUGCAAGAAAACUAUUGCAGCUAAUUUUCAGUGACAAUGUAUAGCUCUGUGGAUAUAUAUUUUUUGCACACUGCCAGUGACAGUAACUGAAGCUGAAAGAUGUUUUAACAAGCAACAGUCAAUGUAUGACAAUCUCAGUUUAAUCAUCUUGGUUUCUACAGAGAUCUCAGGCUUGAUUUGCUCUAGGACUUACAGAUUUGUCUUUUUAGCAGUCCGGUAGUGGCCUUCUCAAGCAUGACAUUUCAAAUAAGUUUAUUUUCUUUCCAUCAGUGUUUUUCACUAUUUAGUUCCCCAGCCAAACAUAGAAAUGGGAAAUGGACAAUCUUAAUAUUAGU